UAAUAGAAAUUGGAUGUAGCAUAAUGGUGGUUAUGUAAUAUAUGUUUUAAAAAUAAAAAAAUAAAAAAAGUUCUAAGAUGUUUCUAUUUUUAAAAAGCAAAAACAAAAAAAGUUUUGAGAGCACCUUAAUUGCUCUAUUCAAGUGAGAGGUAAUUUUAAGCCUCUAUAUUAGAAAAAAGAUAUUUUGUCAUGAGUAUGUAAUUGUAAUUACCAUAUCUUAUCCCAGUGCUGGAGUCAGAUGGGCGAGUACGCAUAAGCAAAUUCAAUUUAUUAAUGUCAAUCUAGUGUUCAGUUAAAUUUUAUACAAAGCAACACGGUUUUUCACUUUCUACUUGUAAGUCAAUGGUUUUCAAGAACCUCGCUUAGAAUUAAGCAACCAUUUUACAUGAAGGUGCAAGUGUGCAUUUCCUUACAUGAUGGAGUAAGCAUUUGGGUUAUCAUCGCUGAACAAUAUGGUGUAUUUGUCGUCCAUGCAUGUUGGUCUCAGAUAUGGUGGCUGAUUAGGAACUCUCUCGACCAUAUUAGGAGGUGCCUUCUUAUCAUAGGCCUGAGCUACGUAAGGAUGAGCCACCAGAUUGAAUGGAACAUAGGGCCACUACACUAUCUUCUUCGUCGUCGGUUCAGCAGCCUUCAGCACUUCCUUUACGUCCACAUAUCCCGUCACUAUCGCUUUCUAUUUCUUCAGGUCUACCUCCACCAACUUAGCUUCUGCACGCAAUUCACAAACACCAAGUUGAUGCAAAAACAUCAUUGCAAAAUAUUGAAGGGGAAAUUCAAACUAUUGAGGCAUGGAGAGAACAUGCUUCACUUUGCGUGCACAGCCUUCACAGUCCAUUCUGAUAUUGAGAGCUACGUGUCACGGAUGAUAUUUUUGUGACCGUGUAGAGACCAAUAUAAUGAAUGAUCCGCUGCUUAGCCUCGCAUAAUAUGGGUAAAGGAGGCGACAUUGGCAUUGGGUGCGUUCUGCCCUAGUCUUCGGGCUAAGUGCACAACUGGUCGGGGGCUAGUGCCGCCUCCCUGAUGAGCCCAUGGCAGGGCGAAACCAGUGUGAUUCGUUUGUGGUAAGGCUUGUCCUGAGAAUUAUGGGGUCCUCCAGGACGCUGCACAGGUGCCGUGUGCUGCGCCAAACUCUCAGCCCGUGACAGAGUGGUAUCAGAGCGGGACGUACUUUAUUGCUGUGUGCCUGUAGAGUCCCACGUUGGGACUAGUUGAUCUCGGCACCGCUCCAGAAGGCCUGCGAGGUGUAGGUAGGUCUAAAAAUAAGGACUCGGGCAGGAAAGUUAGCCGUGGUUGACUCCACUCCUGUUGGCUCGCGGGUGCUAAUGGGUUCGAAGAGUGCAGGACUCGGGUGGCCAUUCAGCAGUAAGCUGAUGUGUUUGUGGCAGUACUGUACGUGUGAUCCUUGGGCAGAGUCUUUCUCCCCUAGCACGAGGGAGUGCUAGAUUGGGUGUGGGAGAAUGUCACGGAUGAUAUUUUCGUGAUCGUGUAGAGACCAAUGUAAUGAAUGAUUCGCUGGUUAGCCUCACACAAUAUGGGUAAAGGGGGCAACAUUGGCAUUGGGUGCGUUCUGCCUUAGUCUUUGGGCUAAGUGCACAACUGGUCGGGGGCUAGUGCUGCCUCCCUGAUGAGCCUAUGGCAGGGCUAAACCAGUGUGAUUCGUUUGUGGUAAGGCUUGUCCUGAGGAUUAUGGGGUCCUCCAGGACGCCGCACGGGCGCCAUGUGCUGCGCCAGACUCUCAGCCCGUGACAUACGACCUGGGUUUGCUUCUUUUUCUUCUUCUUGGCGCUGCUGAGUAAAUCCGACAAGUACUCCAAAGUGCCUUGAACACCCAUUUCCUUCUCUCUCGAUUCGCAAAUUAGUAGCAGCUAGCAUGGAAGAUUUAUGAACAGACCAGGGUAGCUAGAACUAUAGAAAAUGGUGGACGAAGUAAUCUAGCUAGCAGCUUUCUCGUUUAAAAUAGCAGCAACAUGUUAACAGUAGUGAACAACGAUAAUCAUACAAAUACGUAUGCGUAACACAUGAAAGAAAGGACAGGACGGUGACAAGCAAGAAGAAGGCACUUGGCCUUGAGCUCAGCUCCUCCCAUGCUCUGCAUUUUUUGUUUAUCAAAAUACUCAUAUUAAUCACUUUCUAAAAACAUAAUUUAAUCUACUUUAUAAAUCAUUAAUUGAUGUGAUUGUUAUAUUUUAAGUUAAAAUUUUUAAAUUACCAUUGAAAAGUAAAAAAAAAAGAUAAAAAAUAAUAUUAUAUUAUUUGUUUGCUUGUUAUUUAAGGGUUAUAUUAAAAUUUCACUUGCUUUUAUUUUUUAUAUUCUUGUUGUAUUGGUAAUAAUGAGAUUGGUAGAAAUGAUUAUAAAUAGAAUUGAAAGGAGUACGCUAUAGUGAUGACAAGAAAUUAGUAUUCUGUGCUUGUGUUUACUCUAUCCUGAUCCUAAUCUAGCUCUUAAACAUAUCAUUGAAGAUGUUAUGCUUUUGUACCAUAAGAAUUGGAUCUUAUCUAUUGAGCACAUAUAGAGAGAGUCUAAUUUGUAUUCAGAAUUCUUAGUUAGACUAUCUCAUAAGUUAGAAGUCAAUUUUUGUUUCUUUGGUCAUUCACCACCCCCAAUUCAAGAGGCAAUGAAUGAUAAAAGUGAUCAGGCGUAACUCUUAUCAGUUGUAAUCUUUUUUGAUUUGUAUGUUCUUUUUAAAUUAAAAAAAAUUAAUUAUCAAUCAAUCAAUCAAUUACAUAAUAUAAAAUCUUGUGAAUUAAAGAAGUUGAUUGAUUCAAAAAUCCUUGAAUCUCAUUGGUCACUCUACUUUAAUUUUUUUUUUCAAUAUCUCUCUUUCAAAUUCAAUUUGCAUAUAUCCCGCUUAUUUGCUUUCAUCCAUAUUCAAUGUUAACUGUGUCCAGUUAUCAGGGGUUUUAUUUUCAAUUUUCAAAUUUUUAGUUAUCGAGCUUGGUUUAAGGUUAAUUGUGCUUUGUGAUUCGUUCGUUUCAUUGAAUAUUUUCCCAUCCUUUUUAUGGUUUUAUGUGCUGUGCCCACUCCCUCCAAUUUUCAAAUUUGAUAUUAAUGCAUUGCGAUUUUCUUGGGAGCAUUUACAGAGGUGUCUUGUGAAUCCAUGCCAGAAUGAGAGCGCAGGUUAAUGAUUAAAGUUAUAUUGGCCAUCUGUUUUCCAUUUUUGAUAUUUCACAAGUGUAUUUCCGAUCUCUUUAUUCUGAAGUUAUUUGGUUUCCCCAUGUUCACGAUCGCCUGAAACCUCCUUAAUCUCUACACUUUCUCUUGUUAUUUUCUCAUCCCUUAUCGUCUUUCCAACACCCACACCAAUUGGACCUUAUCUUCAUCAGCGACAGCCGUUGGAGCCAUUUAACGAGGUAAAGCCACUCUAUCCCAUUUCCUUUGGCACUCAGGACGAACAGUGAUGAUUCCGACUCUAUGUUUCUUCUUCUUCUUUUUUUCACUUACUUUGGUAUUUGCGGCUGCUUAUUACGAUUUUACACAAUUUUCUAUUUGAGCAAAUGCUGAGCAAAAGUUGUUUUGAAAUUGAGUUCGGUGGUGAGCUUUAUUUGGCAAAUCUAAAGAAUGUGAUAUCGAGGGUGAAGAAAUGAACAAUGGUAAUAUCCAAAUCGAUGAGUGGGGAUGGUAAUCAGGAUAUGGUUAUUGGUGAUGGAACUCUUAGUGGCUAUUCUCUGGUGUAGCAUUUGGAGAAGAUUUCUAAAUCUUGCAGAGGUUUCUGUUUCUAAAUCAUGUGAACUGGUAUGUAUUCUGCUUCCUUCGUCUCUCUUGUUUCAUUUAAAUCCCUAGUCUUUUUUCAUUGUCUCUUUCUUGCUUUAAUACAUAUGUUCAGAAGGGGGGAACCCAAAGUUCAAGACCUGUCUUUGAAAAAACAGAUUUCAACUCGCUUUACUAUGUUUUAAUAGAUUAUGUUGCUCAACUGCUAAGCUUUCAUGUUUAAUUUAAACAAAAUCCCAUGGAUCCGCCAACUGCACUUGAAAAUUCCGUUUCAAUGCGGGACAAAAUACUCACAGCAGGUCCUAUGGAUCUGUCUGUCCUUUUCAUGCAUCAGGAACAUUGUGAAAGCUACGAACUGUAUGAAUCAUUCUUCUUCUUUUUUAACUCAAUAAUUUAGCAGACGAAGUUCAUUUGCAAUUUUGUUGGAACAUGUGCUAGAUGCUAUUAAUCGCAUGGAACAUUGUGCUGGAAGUUAGUCUCCUGGACAAAGUUGCACUGGUAAGUCUUUUUGUUUUAUCAUUUUGGAAUUGUUGAGGCAAUGUUGAUGAUUUUUUCUUUCCUCUCUUAGUUGUUAGAAAUUGCAUAUUGCAUGUUGAUUUAAUCACCUCUACUAACUUAGUGUUAUUGGGUUUGAUCAUCGGAAAUCAUCAAUUUCAUGCAUAUUGGGAGGAGUGGUGAAUAGUGAUUGAUCUGGCAGGAGGAAGCAACGGGAUCAGCAAAGGCAUGUCAUUUUGUUUAUGGUGGGGUAGCUUGUGGUUAUGAUCCCUCACAAUUAAUGCACUUACAUUUUGUUAAGAAAAUGCCUACUUUGAAAUAUCACUAAAUCAUAGGGGCACACUGACAAUAAUAAGCCUUUACUGAGAAGGACAAGGAGAAAAAGUUAGUCUGAAGACAAGGAGAAAAGGCAUAACAAGCAUAAGAACAGGGACAAAGAGAAGGACAAGGAGCAUAAGAAGCACAAGUGUCGUCAUAAAGACCGAAGCAAAGAUAAAGACAAGGAUAAAAGGAAAGAAAAAAGUAGUCAUCAAGUUUCCAGUGCCAAUCAUGGCAAGAAACACCAUCAAAAGGUUGAGGAAUUUUCUCGGCUUCUUCUUUUUUCUCAUUCAAUGUUCUAAAGUGUUGGAUCAUAAUAAUGUCAUCUUGCAAUUUUGUUAAAUGAAAUAGUUGCUUCAUUGAAUAUCUUAUGAAUUCUUUUUUGUUUUGGUUAUAAAUUAGUUUUAAGAAAGUUCUGUUGAUGCUGUCAACCCUCAGUUGCUUGUGAAUUAAGAUCCAUUUCAGGACAUGAGUUUGAUUUGAUGUCAGCAUUCGAAAAGGAAAUAUGAAGAUUUGCUUCAUACUGUUUCAAAAUGAUUUGUUUCAUACAUUUUAUUCUAUGUUAGUAUAAUGCUUCUAGGCGUUGAGGGAUUCUCUGGAAGUGAUGAAAAAUGGGAUAGGAGAUCUGAUUUUGAGAACUCACGAGAUGAAUGACGGAUAAGAAAUGGUUCUUUUGAAAAGAAAGCAAUUAAUACGCCUUCCAAAUUCAAGCUCUCAGAUGGAUGAAAGAUUUUGGUGGUGACACUAUUAUGGAGGAUUUUGAGUACAAGGAGUUAAAUGAUGUUCUGGAGUAUUACCCUUCUGGUCAUCAUGGUGUUGUUAAGGAGGGAAGACCACUUUAUGUUGAAAGACUUAGAAAGGUUGAUCCAAACAAAUAAACUUAUGCAAGUGACAUCUUUGGAUAUAUGUGUAAAGUACCAUGUCCAAGAGUGUGAGAAAAUCUUUGCAAUUAAGUUUCCUGCAUGCCUACGCUAUUGUUGCCAAGAGGCAUAUAGAUUCAAGCACCACAAUCUUAGAUGUUCAAGGCAUGGGCUUGGAGAACUUUACAAAGUCUGCCGGGUAACUUAUAAUGGGAUUACAAAAGAUUGAUGGAGAUAAUUACCCUGAGGUAAGCAAUCCCACUUUAAUUUCUUGCUGUACAUUUUUGGAUUUUUUAAAUUGGAGAUUGAUACUAGCUUUUUUAGAAAAUUUGGUUGAUGAGCAUCUGUUAUGAUCUAAUUGACGAAUAAUUUGUCUUUGAUUUAUGAUGCAGAAUCUUUGCCAAAUGUUUAUCAUAAACUCUGGCCUGGAUUCAGUUGACAAAACUUUUAUUGAUUCCAAAAUGAUUUCUAAAAUUCAUAUGUGCGAAAUUGCAGCCUUUUAGCAGGUUGAAAUAGUUUUCCUUAAUAUUUGUGUUUGGCUGCUAACAUUUCUCUCUCUUUAUUUAAUAUAAUGCUUAUUUGGAAAUUGCAUUGGUUCUUGGAAACAAAGUACCAGAGCACAUUGCUUGAUAUAAGUGAUUCCAGGUAUUUUUGUAUUUUUGCAUAUUUUCAUAUUUCUGCAUGUUAAAGAUAACAGAUAUAAUACAACUACCUAGAAGAUAAAUCUUUUUUUUUUUUUUGGUUAGAAUGAAAUAAUUCAUACAUUAAAAUCAUUGUUGUAUGCUAUUACCUCUCUAUCCAUAAGAAUAUAGUUGAGAUAAAAUAUCUGACUCAGGUCUGAUUCAUGCAUGAUUUCGUAAACUUGAAUAAUAGACAUUGCUAUUCUAACUUCGGUGCGUGAUUCAUUGAGAAAACAAUGGGUGUGUCCAUUUGAUUCCAACACCGACAAGGAGAAUAGGUAACGUGUUUUCUCAAAAAAUGGCUCCCUAAACAUGAGAUUAAAUAAAGGGGGAAAACCAAAACAACAAAUUUAUCUGAAGAGCUCCACCGUGAAUGUUUUUAGAAUGGACGUGUAAGAGAAAUGCAUAGUGUUUAAUCCUGUCAACUACUGUAUUCUACCAACUUGCUUAGUUUCCAAGUAUUGGUUUCUCAACUGGAAUACGAGCAUGGUUAAUGCUUAAAUUAACAUCAUAAUAUGAUUAUUUCAGCUCCCUGAUAAGAUAAUCUAGAUGAAGGAAAAAAUAUCUUCAGAGAUGAGUAAAUAAAUAUUUCUUUCCUAUAAUGAUAUGGUGAGGUUACAUUUUCCUGAAUUUAUUUCCUACGUCUUGAAGAAAAACAUUAUUCCAUUGCCAUCAUGUAUGUUAAAUAGAAAAUUGUUUAAAAACUUAAUUAUGGACACAUUUCAAAUAAAAAAAAUUAAAUAAUUACAUCUAACUAUCAGAAUUGUAAGAAAAAUUUAGAGGAAGCAUUGUUGGAAAAAUUAUGUUGAAAAUAUAUAAAUAAAUAUUAUCAUAAAAGCUAGAUAUUAAAAAAAAUAGAUUUUUUGGACAAUUUCUUAAAUGGAGUUAUGGAAACAAAAGAAAUGAGCAACUUGACAUUGAAAAAUCAUUUAAACAUUAAAGUGAAAAUACUAACAUUUAAAUAUUAUCAAAAGAAAUAAAGAAGGGGACAUUUUUAUGGAUGUGCCCCAUAUUCUAAUUGUAGAUGCCUUAGAUUCUUCAUAUAAUUGUGUCAUGUAAAACUUGUGCAGCACCCGGGAGCUAAUCUAGUUAUUUUUAAAAGACGAAAACCUCCUCAAGUACUAGGCUGAUGAUGAAUGUUUGCUCCCAUGCGCCCCUAGACGUAUAUACGAGCUCCUCUAACUGUCAUCUUAGCAUCCUCUUGAAUAAACCGUCCGUCUCCCAAUGCCCAUGUCUAAUGGUUUUGCCUCCAAAUUCAACAUUUCGAUUUCUUUUUUAAUAAUUGCGAUGAAAUUAAAGUGUGAGGUUAAUAAGAUGAAAAUUGAAAAUUGAAUCCAAAUUAAUUAACAUUUCCACGUAGAGAUUUUUCAGGCCAGUAAAAACAGAAUUAAAUUAAAAAAUAACUCUAUUUUAAGAGAUAAGCAUUGUUAAAUUCUGCCAUUCUUCAAAAAGAAAAAUAAAAUGGUACCCAGGUCUCGUCAAC